rnacentral:lncRNA from 1 species
ACUACUUCAUAUUUUUAAAGAGAAGCCCUCUAAGUUUUAUGUAUCAUUUCCAAAUGUCUAAAUGAUCAUAUCUAAAUCUUAGAUUCCCAGGCUAGGGGUUGAAACAGAGCUUAGCUGCUGGCCUACGACACAGCCACAGCAACGUGGGAUCAGAGCCACCUGAGUGACCUACACCACAGCUCACAGCAACACCAGAUCCUUAACCCACUAAGCGAGGACAGGGAUCGAACCUGCAUCCUCAUUGAUGCUAGUUGGGUUUGCUAACCACUGAGCCACGGUGGGAACUCCUCUCUAAUUCAUUUUUUUUUAAAAUUGGUUGAAUCCUCCAUUUAGAUCCCUCAACUCAGAAACUGCACAUGUGGGUUUAAUCUCUAAUACUGAGUCUAGCCUUUGAUUCAAGUUAUGUAUAACUUGAGUCCUUCAGGUAGUUCCCAGUAAAGGGUAAGCACUCAAGUGACUUGUUAAAUGGCAAACUCGAAGUAUGUUUUUAAUUCAGUUACUUCUUAUAGGUCUGGCUUAUUAUCACAGCUGCUCAAUGACACUUUCUAAGCAAGCUCCUUUGAACACUCUUGUAGAAAUCCUUGAUUAUUCAAGGAUUAUAUAAUUAUUCAGAAACAUCACCUUCAAUUUCUCUUAAUCACUGCCAUCUACUGACCUGCCAACACUUUCCCUUUUUUUUUUUGUUUUGUUUUUUUUGUUUUGUUUUGUUUUUUGUCUUUUGUCUUUUUAAGGCUGUACCCAUGACAUAUGGAGGUUUCCAGGCUAGGGGUCAAAUCCGAGCCGUACCUGCAGGCCUAAGCCACAGCCACAACAAUGCAGGAUUCAAGCCGCAUCUGCGACUUACACCACAGCUCACAGCAAUGCCAGAUCCUUAACCCACUGAGCAAGGCCAGGGACCGAACCUGUGUCUUCAUGGAUGCUAGUCAGCUUUGUUUCCACUGAGCCAUGAUGGGAAAUACUGACACUUACCUGUUAAGCAAAAUUUUAGCGCCAGACAUCAUUUCCUUUAACCAAACUCUUGUCUAGAAGAUGAGAUUCGAAGCAGGCAGACUGGGAUAAAACCUGGCCUUUCCCUCCAUAAUGAUAAGCAAGGGAUCCAACAACAUGCAGCUUCCAUUUCACUAUCUGUCAGAUGAAAAUAAUAAGGAUAACACAUUAAUAUAGCUCUGGCUCAAUUCCAGGCACUGUUUUAAUGGCCAUACUUGUAUUACAUUGUUUCAUAUUCACAAUAACGCUAAGCUAUGAUUUUCUUCAUUCUUCAGAUGAGAAGACUGAGACACAAAAAGUUUAGGUAAUAUUUCUUUGGGCCAUGAUAAUAAUAGAUGCAAAGCAGUUGUGAUGUUUACAAAACACAUUUAUAGGUAUUGGUUAUUUCCUCCCUUUUCCCCGGUUUUAUUGAGAAAUAAUUGACACAUAGCAUUGUAUUAAUUUUAUCUGUGCAACAUGAUGAUUUAAUAUAUUAGAAAAUGGUUAUCACAGUAAGUUUAGUUAACAUCCAUCACCUCACAGUUAAUUUUUUUUUCUUAUGAUGAAUAGUUUUAAGAUCUGCCACUCUCUUAGCAAUUUUCAAAGAUAAUAAUAUUAAAAUUAAAAAUAUUAAUUAUAGUCACCAUGCUGUACAUUACAUCCCCAGAACAUAUUCAUCUUACAGAUGGAAAUUUGUACCUUUGGCCACCUUCACCCAUUAUUAUUUUUAUUAGCAGUAUGAUGGAGAGAAAAAGUGGCUUUUAAAAAAUCACAACUACUGCAGCCGCUUCUGCUCCUGUGGAUGUGGCAUGCUUCCUUUCUUGAAAGGGCUAUUUAGGAAAAUGAUGGAAAGUCUCAGGGUCUAAAUGUUGAAGCUUCUGAGAGAUGAUUUGCAAGAUGCAUCCAGGCAAAGAAUGAUGCCGAACCAUUAUGCAAAUGAGUGGAAAGGUUUGGAGGGUCCAGAGGAGACUGAGUGGAGGGACUGAGGGGCCAGGAUAAAGGAAGGAGAAGGAGAGGGAGAGGAGAGGAGCAAAGAAGAGCAGCCUGCGAAGAGACGGGAAGAACAAGGAGACAGUGAGCUUGCCCUCAGCAGGACAGGUGGGAGGACAGCAAUUCCUGGGAAAUCAGACCAUAAGCACACUCACCUCUGUGACUGCUGAUACUUGAUUGGUUGUCCUUGCAAAAGCUGCUUCAGGGAAGCAGAAGGAAGUGGUCUGUGUCCCGUGGGCAGAUGAGGAGCAGGGAGAGUAAUAACUAACACCCACAGAGCUUUUCCUAGGGCUUUCUGCUUGCUUAAUGCCAACCACAACUUUUGAGGAGGUGUUCUAUUAGCCCAUUUUACAGAUGGGGAAACUAAGACAGAGUGGAUAAGGGAAUUGCCCAAAGUUAACCAGCUACAAGGGGCACCAUAUUUUAUGUGCUCAACUUCUAUGUUAUCCUGAAAGAAGAGUCAAACAGCAAGAGAGGAGAUACUUGUGAAAAUGUGGAUUCAAAGAAAGGAGACACAUAAGCUGGUACAACCACAUGUAAGCUGGUACAACCACAUGUAAGCUGGUACAACCACAGUGGAGGUACCUUAGAAAACUAUACACAGAACUACCAUAUGACCCAGCAGCGCCACUUUUGGGCAUAUAUCCAGACAAAACUUUCCUUAAAAAAGACACAAGCACCCACAUGCUCACUGCAGCACUCUUCACAAUAGCCAAGACAUGGAAACAACCCAAAUGUCCACCAACAGAUGAUUGGAUUAGGAAGAUGUGGUAUAUAUACACAAUGGAAUACUACUCGGCCAUAAAAAAGAACAAAAUAAUGCCAUUUGCAGCAACAUGGAUGGAAAUAGAGACUCUCAUACUGAGUGAAGUAAGUCAGAAAGAGAAAGACAGAUCCAACAUGAUAUCACUUAUAUCUGGAAUCUAAUAUACAGCAUCAACGAAACUUUCCACAGAAAAGAAAAUCAUGGACUUGGAGAAUAGACUUGUGGUUGCCAAGGGGGAGGGAGAGGGAGUGGGAUGGAUUGGGUGUUUGGGGUUAAUGGAUGCAAACUAUUGCUUUUGGAAUGGAUUAGCAAUGAGAUCCUGCUAUGUAGCACUGGGAACUAUGUCUAGUCACUUAUGAUGGGGCAUGAUAAUGGGAGAAAAAAAGAGGAAUGUAUACAGGUAUGUGUGAUUGGUUCACCUUGCUGUACAGUAGAAAAUUGACAGAACAUUGUAAACCAGCUAUAAUGGAAAAAAUACAAAUCAUAAUUCAAAAAAAAAAAAAAAAAAAAAAGAUCCGGCAUUGCUGUGGCUGUGGCCUAGGCCUCAGCUGCAGCUCUGAUUCAACCUCUGGUCUGAGACCUUCCAUAUGCCACAGGCGUGGCUGUAAAACAAACCAAUGUGUGUGCGUGUGUGUGUGUGUGUGUGUGUGUGUGUACACACACAUAUAGAUAUAGAUAUAGAUAUAGAUAUCAGGUAAUACACCCAAGUAGUGAUUGCUGCUUCCCUAAGUGUGGGGUGGGAAGAAGGUACUAACACCACAGAAGCCUCCUAUGUACCAGAAUAGACUUUGCUUAAAGGAUGUUCUGAACAAGGAAGGGAAGAGUUCAUUUUGUUAAGCAGACGCCUAUGAACUGCUUUCAAAGACACAGCUAAUACCUAGAUCUAAAAGGAGAAAAUGGUAGAGCAUUCAUUAGGGAGGCUUCGAUUUUAUCUGAUCAUGGGAGAAAAGAGAGACAAAACUAUUACAUUGUUUUGAACUUGGUUGAUUUGUGUAACACACACUGCUUAUGUUCUUAAGGAGACAAAGAUCCACAUGAUGGAUACUUUUUUCAUAUUGAUUUGGUAAGCAGGGGGCAUUUCAAUUACCUUUAAGAAAUGAUUUAACUUACAACAGUGGAAAAAAAAAUCUUUGAAUGAAAAUGCUAUCCAUCAAAGGCAAAAAAGUUAAGGCUUGUCAUAGAGGGAAAGGAGACAAGCAUGAUCAAAAUGCAAUGUAUUUAACCCUUAAAGAGAUCAGGCAAUCCAGGAUGUGUUGUCUAACUUCUCUUUUUUUUUUUUUUUUUUUUUUUUUUUUUUUGCUAGUAAUCCACUGAGCAAGUGCUGAAAGCUUAUUUUUUACUGAUGACCCAUUAUCAAUUUUGCCAGCAUAAAAGCAGACUCUUUUUUUUUUCUUUCCUGCUGCGUCUGGUCUUGUUUCCCAGGUAUGACAGUGCAAACUGGUGCGCAAAGAAGGCUCACCCAUGAAUGAUGAGUUCCUUGCAAUAUUGAACAUCAAGGGUUACUUUCCAAAUCCCCUUUUCUUUCAUCAGGAGUUCAUUGCAUUUGCACUUAGCAUACACUUUGCAUCUGCAUUUUCUGUCCUGGAAAUUAUACUCAUGAAGCAACUACAAGAGGCAGCUGAGCUGAGGGAUUGGCAUAUGUAGGGAGUAUUUACAGAGAAUCAAAUCAGGUGACCUCAAAAAAGAUGAGCUUCUUUUAGGAGGAAUUCUGUUAGACUGAUUGUGAGGGGCUGAACUCUAGGCAGAAGGGAGGAAAGAGACUCAAAGUGAGAAAAAGGCACUUAUGGAAGCUCAGAAUUAAACAAAGUAGUCUUUUUGAGUAUUAAGAAACAAAAACAAUGGAUCCAGAGCCAUGGAAUGGUGCCCAGUGGCCCCAAAUGCUCAUUUGCUUUUAAGGUUGUUUGGGCUUUAAUUAGUGAAGCCUUGCCCAGAGGGAUUAAAAAUCUUGAACUUUGAGAAAGAACAAUUUUGCAGGGCCAAAUGGGAAGAAGGCUGAGUGGAUGCAGAUGGCAGCGCAGAGCUCUCAGUUUGUUUAGUCAAGGAUUAGAACUCUAAGCUCUAAGGCGGGGCUGGUAGUUUUAUUUAAAAGAAAAGUUCAGACCACUUUAUGCUGCUGUAAGCAUGAGAUCAAACUUCCCAUGAAGAAACUUACAGAAAUGAUGUUUCUCUUUUCAUUGUUUUAAUCCUGUUGCAUUUAUCAAGAAUCAGUAGCUCAUUUUUCCCUCCACACUCAGUGUCCAGAAGCAUAUUGAAUGUCAUACGGUUUCUCCAAAAUGCAAGCUAUUUUGUGUCUGAGCCCUCUGCAUAAAACACCCUUCUCUGUUCUUACCUGGUAAUCUCCUGUGCAUCCUUCAUAAUUUUGUUCCUGCAUACCCUUUUCUCUUUGAACGGUCCCUGAAUUUUGUGUCUUUUUCUUAAAUUUAUUUCUGUGGUUACACUUACCAUGUUGUGUUGCAAUUAUUUGGUACAUAGAAUACAUGCAAAAGAGGAGUUCCUGCUGUGGCUCAGGGGAAAUGAAUCUGACUAGCAUUCAUGAGGACGCAGGUUCGAUCCCUGGCCUCACUCAGUGGGUUAAGGAUCCAGUGUUGCCAUGAGCUGUGGUGUAGGUUGCAGACGCGGCUCGGACCCCAAGUUGCUGUGGCUGUGGUGUAGGCCAACUGCUACAGUUUCGAUUCGACCCCUAGCCUGGGAACCUCCAUAUGCUGUGGGUGCAGCCCUAAACGAACAAACAAACAAAAAGAAUACAUGCAAAAGAAUGCAUGCAGCACAUAUGUACAUUUUAAGUAAUAAUAAUAAUUAAAAAAAAAAAGUUUAGGUACCAUACCAACAGCUCAAGAAAGAGAAUGUUAUCAGUAACUUGAAAUUUCGUUCAUGACUCACCCAUCCCUCUGCCUGCUUACCCUGCAGAGGCAAUUGCUGAAGAAGAAUUAUAUAUUUUUAUUUUAUCACAUAUGUACGUAUCUUUAAACAACAUAUGGUUGAGUGUUGCUUAUUUUGAACCUAAUAUAAAGAGAAUUAUUUAUGUUUUUAGGAUUCAUCAAUUUUGUUGAAGGAAAUUUGCAUUCUUAAUGGGGUAAAAAUUGGUUUUUGGAGUACAGAAAAUUCUUACUCUUUUAAUGUAUAAAGCAAACAUUACAUACAGUAUAUAAAUAUACUGUUUGUCUAUGGUAUUAAAAUGUUAUAGGAACCAUUAGGGAAAAAAAAUGUCUACAAAUACUUCUUAGGGGGUUGAUAAUGAAAAAAACAUUGAGAACCACUCUGUGGUUCAUAUAUUUUUACUGCUGUAGAGUAUUUCAUUAGAUGAUUAGCCCAUAAUUUAUCUAUUAUAAUGUUGAUGUAUUUUUUUUUUAAUUAAAACAGCGCUGUGCCUACAAAUUCAGUAACUUAGAUGAAAUGGACCAGUUCCUUGAAAGACACAAUAUCCUAAAACUCACAUAAGAAGAAACAGACAGUUUUGGAGUUCCCAUUGUGGCUCAGCAGGUUAAGAACUCAACUAGUAUCCUUGAAGAUGUGGAUUUGAUCCCUGGUCUUAUUCAGUGGGUUAAAGAUCCAGCAUGGCCACAAGCUCUGGUGUAGGUCACAGAUGAAGCUUGGAUCUGGCAUUGCUGUGGCUGUGGUAUAUGCCAGCAGCUGCAGCUCUAAUUUGACCCCUAAUCUGGGAACUUCCAUAUGCUACAUGUGCAGACCUAAAAAGAAAAAGAAAAAGAAAAA